rnacentral:lncRNA from 1 species
UUACGUUACAAGGGUGUUGGCUGCUAGGCUCCCAACCGAAGCGGUUUAGCCUCUUAUUGCCAUGAUAGACUUUACACAUUAUGGGAUAAUGUGGAUGGAAGAAGGAAAAGGAUGGAUAAAGGAAGAGGGGAGAAUGGCUAGAGAGAGAGGGAUUUCCCCUAAGAGAGAUGCUUAGGCUUGGGUGUAUUCAAUAGAGAACUCUGAGCCUCGAUGUGUC